AUGUCGACCGGAUGCAGAUGCGUGUGUUGUCUGAUGGCAAAUACUUGCUGGUUGAGUUCGUGCAAGCUACUGCUUACGCUGAAGUAGAGCAGAGUGGUUUAAUAGACUUUCUGAGGAUUGACAAUGUGGGGAAUGACGAGGCGGAGUGAGACUAGCAAUGAUGUCAUGUGUGGAGCAUGUGAAGGUACAUGUGUGUUUCACGUGGAUGGAAGCUGUUGUGGUAAUUCAGUUGAUGCUCAUCUUGCAUUGUGAUUUGUCGAUUACUAAUUGAGACUGUGAACUUCAUCGACUUUUCUGUGUAAUCUCGUUCUCACUGGGUGUGGGUGUCAGUCUAUUGUAUUGAAGUAACAACAGGUUACUGCGCAUUGCAGCUCUUUGUUCUCUACGAGAUGGCAGCACAUUUUGUUGUGGAAAUUGUGCUGUUAUUUUCAUGGCUUCAAGUGAUCUUUUGUGUUGAGGUAGCAUCCAAAACUUCUCUAGCAAAUAGUUUGAUUGACAAGUGCAGUCAAACACAAGAGUAAUUGCUGCUAAGUGUUUUUGUUGUAUAUUUUAGAAAUCAUCAGCAGUCUCUUGUGAUGCAGCUGUUCUUACUGGUCCUCGAGGUCUUCCUGGUCCUGUGGGUCAGAGAGGCAUGCCUGGGGUACCAGGAACACAAGGCUUGUCAGGCUUACAAGGUUUACCAGGAGCAUUUGGAAAGACUGGAGAUCCAGGUCCUGUCGGUGUACAAGGUCUUCCUGGUCGUGUUGGCCCAGCAGGCCAGAAGGGG